GUAAAAGUCGUAACAAGGUUUCCGUAGGUGAACCUGCGGAAGGAUCAUUAUUGAAUAAACUUGAACAGGCUGUUGCUGGCCCUCUCUUGUGAGGGGGACAUGUGCACGCUUGUCAUCUUUAUCUCUCCAACUGUGCACACAUUGUAGACCUGGAGUCGUCUUUGUUGAUUCAUUCGAGUUGGCACUGCAGCGCUUUUCAAAACAAAAAAAAGUCUGCUCUGCCUUUUGCAUUUCCAGGUCUAUGUCAUUUUCACAACCUCAAUGUGUUUAGAAUGUCGAAUCAGGUCCUUUUUUGUACCUAUAAAAGUUAAAUAUACAACUUUCAGCAACGGAUCUCUUGGCUCUCGCAUCGAUGAAGAACGCAGCGAAAUGCGAUAAGUAAUGUGAAUUGCAGAAUUCAGUGAAUCAUCGAAUCUUUGAACGCAUCUUGCGCUCCUUGGUAUUCCGAGGAGCAUGCCUGUUUGAGUGUCAUUUCAAGUUCUCAACUGCAUCAAUUUCUCGUUGAUGUGGCUUGGAUGUGGGGGAUUGAUUAUUGCAGGCUUCUGUCAAAGGAGGUCGGCUCCCCUGAAAAGUAUUAGUGGUAUCUGAGCGGAAGAAACUACUAUAGGUGUGAUAACUAUCUAUGCCUUCAGUAUGCUGCAUAAAAACAGAUUGCACUGCUUCUAACCUAGUGAAAACCUCUCUCUCUACAAGGAGGGGCCACAUUUGACGAAUUUGACCUCAAAUCAGGUAGGACUACCCGCUGAACUUAAGCAUAUCAAUAAGCGGAGGAAAAGAAACUAACAAGGAUUCCCCUAGUAACUGCGAGUGAAGCGGGAAAAGCUCAAAUUUGAAAUCUGGCGGUUUUUUGACUGUCCGAGUUGUAAUCUAGAGAAGUGUUACCUGUGCUGGACCGU
rnacentral:rRNA from 1 species